rnacentral:rRNA from 1 species
AUGGUAUUGAUGAAACUAGCGCUUGAAUCACUAGGAGAUGCGGAACAUGUUACUAUAGUACUUACUUUCGGGUGUCUAAAUUCCAGCUUCUUCGGCAGUCUUGGAGCUUUUUUGGUGAAUUUUCUCCAAACCCUGCCAGACAAACAAAACAAUUACUUGAUAUCAGAAAUGAACAAAGUUGCUGAUAUGGUGGAUAAUGAUCGAUUUAACUUACUUCUCGAGCAUUUGAGUCAUGUCCGCAUACUCCUGGGGAUCUUUUCGUUUAGAGUCCAAGACAGUUACUACUCCCUGCUCAAGCUUAAUCUCUAG